rnacentral:rRNA from 1 species
GACGAACGCUGGCGGCGUGCUUAACACAUGCAAGUCGAACGGAAAGGCCCUGCUUUUGUGGUGUGCUCGAGUGGCGAACGGGUGAGUAACACGUGAGUAACCUGCCCUUGACUUUGGGAUAACUUCAGGAAACUGGGGCUAAUACCGGAUAGGAGCUCCUGCUGCAUGGUGGGGGUUGGAAAGUUUCGGCGGUUGGGGAUGGACUCGCGGCUUAUCAGCUUGUUGGUGGGGUAGUGGCUUACCAAGGCUUUGACGGGUAGCCGGCCUGAGAGGGUGACCGGCCACAUUGGGACUGAGAUAGGACCCAGACUCCUACGGGAGGCAGCAGUGGGGAAUAUUGCACAAGGGGCGGAAGCCUGAUGAAGAAACGCCGCGUGCGGGAUGACGGCCUUCGGGUUGUAAACCGCUUUGGCCUGUGACGAAGCGUGAGUGACGGUAAUGGGUAAAGAAGCACCGGCUAACUACGUG